GUCCACGCCGUAACGAUGAGUGCUAAGUGUUAGAGGUUCCGCCCUUAGUGCUGCAGCAACGCAUUAAGCACUCCGCCUGGGAGUACGGCCGCAAGGCUGAACUCAAGGAAUUGACGGGGCCCGCACAAGCGGUGGAGCAUGUGGUUUAAUUCGAAGCAACGCGAAGAACCUUACCAGGUCUUGACAUCCUCUGACCACCUUAGAGAUAGGGCUUUCCCUUCGGGGACGAGAGUGACAGGUGGUGCAUGGUUGUCGU
rnacentral:rRNA from 1 species